UACGAAGGGGGCUAGCGUUGUUCGGAAUUACUGGGCGUAAAGCGCACGUAGGCGGCUCCGCAAGUCGGAUGUGAAAUCCCUCGGCUCAACCAAGGAAGUGCAUCCGAAACUGCAGAGCUUGAGUACCAAAGAGGAUCGCGGAAUUCCCGGUGUAGAGGUGAAAUUCGUAGAUAUCGUAAGGAAGACCAGUGGCGAAGGCGGAUCUCUGGACAGUUACUGACACUGAGGCACGAAGGCCAGGGGAGCAAACGGG
rnacentral:rRNA from 1 species